CUCAGGACGAACGCUGGCGGCGUGCUUAACACAUGCAAGUCGAGCGGAAAGGCCCUUCGGGGUACUCGAGCGGCGAACGGGUGAGUAACACGUGAGCAACCUGCCCCAGGCUUUGGGAUAACCCCGGGAAACCGGGGCUAAUACCGAAUAUGACCUCUGACCGCAUGGUUGGUGGUGGAAAGUUUUUCGGCUUGGGAUGGGCUCGCGGCCUAUCAGCUUGUUGGUGGGGUGAUGGCCUACCAAGGCGACGACGGGUAGCCGGCCUGAGAGGGCGACCGGCCACACUGGGACUGAGACACGGCCCAGACUCCUACGGGAGGCAGCAGUGGGGAAUAUUGCACAAUGGGCGGAAGCCUGAUGCAGCGACGCCGCGUGAGGGAUGACGGCCUUCGGGUUGUAAACCUCUUUCAGCAGGGACGAAG
rnacentral:rRNA from 1 species